UAAAAAAUCGCGCGAUACGGACACGAGACAUAACCUCUUUCACAACUCUGGCUCAGUUCGAAGGACCAUAUAGAGGGAAACGCGUCGACGAACUGGACGAUUGGCAAACUUUCCAGCGUGGAAGGAUCACGAAGAACGAGGCACUCGCGCGCGCGCGCGCGCGGCCGCGCGAUCCGAUGACUCAUGCUCGCAGAUAAAUUCUAAGCGUCCAAGUGUUCCCGUGCAGGAAGUUGUCGAGUCGCCGCAUCGAUUGUCGCGUUUCAUAGGAAAAUUUUCCUGGAAGCACGAGAUCCGCAGCGUGACUCAUGGCCCCUCUGGCGAGAUUCAAGGUCAUCGGACGACUGGCCGCCAACGCAGGAGCUCCGGGGCACAGGAAAGCUCGGAAGGAGGGAGGACGCGAUCCGGCAGCAGGGAGAAACUUGGGGCACGUUCCGGGCAAUUGAUGCAGAAGAUAUUGAUUUUGAGCGAGUGAAGGAUCAAAGAGAAAAUUGGAAUAAGAAUUUGCUAAUUCGUCAGACCUCCAAGUUCGAUUUGACCAAACGCAGAAGUGAUUGAAUGUUUCUCCUAUUAGACCGCGAACAGGCGUUUUCUUGGUCGCCUUUUAAAGAGAACCGUUUCCCUAAGAGAUAACGUCGAUACACCGAACAAUCCAAGACCAAUUUCAGACCAGUUUCCUCCCAAGGAAUGUCAUUGUAAACUCAAGCUCGGCGAGUGCGUGCAUGCAUACAUGUAUACGUAUACAUAUAUAUGCGUCUGACGGUGCAGCCUAAGCGAGACAAUUGUCUUUUGCCUCAUUGCACCCGGGCUUUUACCUUUGUUCGACGAGGUUCAAAUGUUUUUUAUAUCUCAUAAUUGUUUUUACCGUUCAAUUGUAUUAUUAUGUCGAAUCUGUGGAAAUGAUAAAUCAGGAUAAAUUGAAGAAAAUAAUGUAUAGCAACGAAGUAGAUAUUAUAAUCUUCCUUCUAGGAUAUUUACAAUCCUUUUAUAUUUAUUUUAUAAGUUAAACAUUUCUAUCGGUUAAA